rnacentral:tRNA from 1 species
GGGGUUGUGGCUCAGGGCUAGAGCGCUUGCCCAGCAUGUGCGAGGCCCUGAGUUCAAUCCUCAGCACCACA